rnacentral:rRNA from 1 species
AAGCGUUCAUGACCAGACUUGGGCAGGUUGAUCAUCCGUGGUUCUCCGCGGUGCACUUUUCCAGUCCAGGCCAGCAUCAGUUUUCGCCGGGGGAUAAAGGCUUCGGGAAUGUGGCUCUCUCCGGGGAGUGUUAUAGCCCGUUGCGUAAUACCCUGGGACGGACUG